ACCCAUGCAUCCAAAGAGUUUGAUCCUGGCUCAGGACGAACGCUGGCGGCGUGCCUAAUACAUGCAAGUCGAGCGGACAGAUGGGAGCUUGCUCCCUGAUGUUAGCGGCGGACGGGUGAGUAACACGUGGGUAACCUGCCUGUAAGACUGGGAUAACUCCGGGAAACCGGGGCUAAUACCGGAUGGUUGUUUGAACCCCAUGGUUCAGACAUAAAAGGUGGCUUCGGCUACCACUUACAGAUGGACCCGCGGCGCAUAAGGUAGUUGGUGAGGUAACGGCUCACCAAGGCGACGAUGCGUAGCCCCCCUGAAGGGGUUAUCGGCCCCAUUGGGACUGAGACCCGGCCCCAGAUUCUUAGGGAAGCACCAUUAGGAAUCUUCCCCAAUGGAAAAAAUUUUGACGGAACAACGCCGCGGUAAGUGAGAAAGUUUUCGGAUCGUAAAGUUCUGUUUUUAGGAAAGAACAAGUCCCGUUCAAAUAGGGCGGCACCUUGACGGUACCUAACCAGAAAGCCACGGCUAACUACGUGCCAGCAGCCGCGGUAAUACGUAGGUGGCAAGCGUUGUCCGGAAUUAUUGGGCGUAAAGGGCUCGCAGGCGGUUUCUUAAGUCUGAUGUGAAAGCCCCCGGCUCAACCGGGGAGGGUCAUUGGAAACUGGGGAACUUGAGUGCAGAAGAGGAGAGUGGAAUUCCACGUGUAGCGGUGAAAUGCGUAGAGAUGUGGAGGAACACCAGUGGCGAAGGCGACUCUCUGGUCUGUAACUGACGCUGAGGAGCGAAAGCGUGGGGAGCGAACAGGAUUAGAUACCCUGGUAGUCCACGCCGUAAACGAUGAGUGCUAAGUGUUAGGGGGUUUCCGCCCCUUAGUGCUGCAGCUAACGCAUUAAGCACUCCGCCUGGGGAGUACGGUCGCAAGACUGAAGCUCAAAGGAAUUGACGGGGGCCCGCACAAGCGGUGGAGCAUGUGGUUUAAUUCGAAGCAACGCGAAGAACCUUACCAGGUCUUGACAUCCUCUGACAAUCCUAGAGAUAGGACGUCCCCUUCGGGGGCAGAGUGACAGGUGGUGCAUGGUUGUCGUCAGCUCGUGUCGUGAGAUGUUGGGUUAAGUCCCGCAACGAGCGCAACCCUUGAUCUUAGUUGCCAGCAUUCAGUUGGGCACUCUAAGGCGACUGCCGGUGACAAACCGGAGGAAGGUGGGGAUGACGUCAAAUCAUCAUGCCCCUUAUGACCUGGGCUACACACGUGCUACAAUGGACAGAACAAAGGGCAGCGAAACCGCGAGGUUAAGCCAAUCCCACAAAUCUGUUCUCAGUUCGGAUCGCAGUCUGCAACUCGACUGCGUGAAGCUGGAAUCGCUAGUAAUCGCGGAUCAGCAUGCCGCGGUGAAUACGUUCCCGGGCCUUGUACACACCGCCCGUCACACCACGAGAGUUUGUAACACCCGAAGUCGGUGAGGUAACCUUUAUGGAGCCAGCCGCCGAAGGUGGGACAGAUGAUUGGGGUGAAGUCGUAACAAGGUAGCCGUAUCGGAAGGUGCGGCUGGAUCACCUCCUUCUCGCCUCCC
rnacentral:rRNA from 1 species